UACAGGGGGGGCAAGCGUUGUUCGGAAUUACUGGGCGUAAAGGGCUCGUAGGUGGCCAACUCAGUCAGACGUGAAAUCCCUCAGCUUAACUGGGGAACUGCGUCUGAUACUGGAUGGCUUGAGUUUGGGAGAGGGAUGCGGAAUUCCAGGUGUAGCGGUGAAAUGCGUAGAUAUCUGGAGGAACACCGGUGGCGAAGGCGGCAUCCUGGACCAACACUGACACUGAGGAGCGAAAGCCAGGGGAGCAAACGGG
rnacentral:rRNA from 1 species